rnacentral:rRNA from 1 species
GACGAACGCUGGCGGCGUGCUUAACACAUGCAAGUCGAACGGUGAAGCGCCUUCCUUUUGGUGGGUGUGGAUGAGCGGCGCACGGGUGAGUAACACGUGAGUAACCUGCCCCCUUCUUCUGGAUAACCGCAUGAAAGUGUGGCUAAUACGGGAUAUUCUGGGUCUGUCGCAUGAUGGGUCUGGGAAAGAUAUUGUUUCGGUGGGGGAUGGGCUCGCGGCCUAUCAGCUUGUUGGUGGGGUGAUGGCCUACCAAGGCGGUGACGGGUAGCCGGCCUGAGAGGGUGGACGGGAACACUGGGACUGAGACACGGCGCAGACUCCUAAGGGAGGCAGCAGUGGGGAAUAUUGCACAAUGGGAGAAAGGCUGAUGCAGCGACGCCGCGUGAGGGAUGGAGGCCUGCGGGUUGUGAACCUCUUUCGCCAGUGAAGCAGGCCUGCCUCGUUUGUGGGUGGGUUGACGGUAGCUGGAUAAGAAGCGCCGGCUAACUACGUG